rnacentral:rRNA from 1 species
AUACGGAGGGUGCAAGCGUUGUUCGGAUUUACUGGGCGUAAAGAGUACGUAGGUGGUUUAUUAAGUCAGAUGUGAAAGCCCCGGGCUUAACCUGGGAACUGCAUUUGAUACUGGCAAACUAGAGUAUGGUAGAGGCGGGUAGAAUUCCUAGUGUAGCGGUGAAAUGCGUAGAUAUUAGGAGGAAUACCAGUGGCGAAGGCGGCCCGCUGGACCAAUACUGACACUGAGGUACGAAAGCGUGGGUAGCGAACAGGAUUAGAUACCCUAGUAGUCC